CGCGUAGGCGGAAUGGCAAGUCGGUCGUGAAAUCCUUCGGCUCAACCGAAGAACGUCGAUCGAUACUGCUGUUCUAGAGGAUUGCAGAGGAGACUGGAAUUCCCGGUGUAGCGGUGAAAUGUGUAGAGAUCGGGAGGAACACCUGUGGCGAAGGCGGGUCUCUGGGCAAUUCCUGACGCUGAGGCGCGAAAGCGUGGGGAGCAAACGGGAUUAGAUACCCCGGUAGUCCACGCUGUAAACGAUGACGACUAGGUGUGGGGGGGGUUCAGUCCCUUCCGUGCCGCAGCUAACGCAUUAAGUCGUCCGCCUGGGGAGUACGGCCGCAAGGUUGAA
rnacentral:rRNA from 1 species